UGGGGAAUAUUGGGCAAUGGGCGCAAGCCUGACCCAGCAACGCCGCGUGAAGGAAGAAGGCUUUCGGGUUGUAAACUUCUUUUGUCAGGGACGAGAAGAAGACGGUACCUGACGAAUAAGCCACGGCUAACUACGUGCCAGCAGCCGCGGUAAUACGUAGGGGGCAAGCGUUAUCCGGAUUUACUGGGCGUAAAGGGCAUGUAGGCGGACCUGCAAGCUUGGAGUGAAAUCCACGGGCUCAACCCGUGAACUGCUCCGGGAACUGCAGGACUUGAAUCGCUGAGGGGGAGCCGGAAUUCCAGGUGUAGGGGUGAAAUCUGUAGAUAUCUGGAAGAACACCAAUGGCGAAGGCAGGCUUCUAGCAGACGAUUGACGCUGAGGUGCGAAGGUGCGGGGAGCAAACAGGAUUAGAUACCCUGGUAGU
rnacentral:rRNA from 1 species